UUAAUCAUAGUUCAGUAUCUUCAUUAGUUGGACAAUUAAUCAUAAUUCAUUAUCUUCGUUAGUUGGACAAUAAUCAUAGUAUGGUAUCUUCAUUAGUUUGACAAUUGAUUCAUAGUUCAGUUUCUACGUUAUUGAUUGUCUUUUCGUCUUAGUUCAGGAUCUUGGUUAGUUGGACUAGUUUUAGAUCGCACCUUUGAUAUACUACAGCCCUUAUCGGUGUGCCACAUGUUCAGACCUCUAGAACACUCGACCACAUCCACUAUAUAAACAU
rnacentral:lncRNA from 1 species